CAGAUAGCUAUACAGAUAGAUAGAUAGAUAGAUAGAUAGAUAGAUCAUUGGAUGGACAGAUAGCUAUACAGAUAGAUAGAUAGAUAGAUAGAUAGAUAGAUAGAUAGAUAGAUAGAUAGAUAGAUAGAUAGAGAGAUAGAAAAUAUAUUAAUGAAUUGUUAGGUCUAUAACUAAGUAAGUAGGCAGAUGGAUAGGUAGAUAGAUGGUGGUUAGAUAUACAGGUAAGUAGAUAGAUGAAUCAAGAGAUGGGUGGGCAGAUAGAUAAACCAGUAGAGGGAGGGAAGGAUAGAUUGAAAGGCCUUGCGAUAAUCUUUCCCAAGGCCUGUGGCCGCAAGAAUCUUGUGAAAGGGGAUGUGUUUUGCAGGAAGGAAGAGACGUGGAUGCAACCUUUGCGGUGAGAGUGCAUUUCACAUCACUAUUGCAAUGGAUCCCCUCUCUUAAAAUCAAAACAAAACCCAUCUUAUCUUUAUUACUAGCUGUGCCUGGCCACGCGUUGCUGUGGCGAAGUCAGGUGGUAUGGGAAAUAAAGUAUUGAGGAAUUGGUGGUAGUUAAGGUAAAGGGUAAAGGUGUGGAGUCCAGAUAAUCCAGUUAAAGCAGAGACUAUAAGAUUAUAAAUGGGUUAUAUAGCUUUGUGGAAGGGCCUUGAGUCUACACUGCCAUCUAAUCCAGUUAAAAUCUGAUAAUCUGUAUUUUAUAGGCAGUGUGGAAGAGGCCUAAGUGAGGCUUAACUCUGCCU